AUGUCUUCCUCCUCCGGCGCAUCUCACCCUAGCCUCAAUGGGCAGGUCAUUGAGAAACUCUCUCACACGAACUACGUGCUAUGGCGCACACAGAUCACGCCGCAGUUGUGUGGCGCCGGUGUCUUCAACUAUGUUAACGGCACCUCGCCGGAGCCGGCCAAGCUUCUCGCCGCCAAGGACAAGGACGGCAAGGAGACUUUCGAGCCCAACCCUCUCCACCCACUAUGGGUCAGGGAGGACCAGCAGGUGCUCGGAUAUCUGCUGAGCAACCUCUUCAAGGAGGUGCUCGUC
rnacentral:rRNA from 1 species